GACGAACGCUGGCGGCGUGCUUAACACAUGCAAGUCGAGCGAUGAAGCACCUUCGGGUGUGAAUUAGCGGCGAACGGGUGAGGAACACGUGAGAAAUCUGCCUUCAACUCUGGGAUAACUCCGGGAAACCGGGGCUAAUACCGGAUAUGAGCCUUGAUCGCAUGAUCGGGGCUGGAACGUUUUUCGGUUGAAGAUGAUCUCGCGGCCUAUCAGCUUGUUGGUGAGGUAAGGGCUCACCAAGGCGACGACGGGUAGCCGGCCGGCGAGGGCGACCGGCCACACUGGGACUGAGACACGGCCCAGACUCCUACGGGAGGCAGCAGUGGGGAAUAUUGGGCAAUGGAGGAAACUCUGACCCAGCGACGCCGCGUGAGGGAUGAAGGCCUUCGGGUUGUAAACCUCUUUCAGUAGGGAAGAAGCGAAAGUGACGGUACCUACAGAAGAAGCACCGGCUAACUAUGUGCCAGCCGCCGCCGUAA
rnacentral:rRNA from 1 species